GUUGACCUAAAUGACUAAUGAUGAUAAAUACAAUCCACCUGUGUGUAAUCAAGUCUCCGUAUAAAUGCACCUGCACUGUGAUAGUCUCAGAGGUCCGUUAAAAGCGCAGAGAGCAUCAUGAAGAACAAGGAACACACCAGGCAGGUCCGAGAUACUGUUGUGAAGAAGUUUAAAGCCGGAUUUGGAUACAAAUAGCCCGGGGAUAUCUACUAUAGAUGAAUGUCAUUGCAGGUUAUUGUUCAGGGCAUAUUAUUUUGCAGUGCUGAAGCCACAGAGCAGGGUGUAUUAUUUUGCAGUGCUGAACAGGGCACAUAGCCACAGAGCAGGGCGUAUUAUUUUGCAGUGCUGAACAGGGCACAUAGCCACAGAGCAGGGCGUAUUAUUUUGCAGUGCUGAACAGGGCACAUAGCCACAGAGCAGAGCGUAUUAUUUUGCAGUGCUGAACAGGGUACAUAGCCACAGAGCAGGGCGUAUUAUUUUGCAGUGCUGAAGCCACAGAGCAGGGUGUAUUAUUUUGCAGUGCUGAACAGGGUACAUAGCCACAGAGUAAGGCGUAUUAUUUUGCAGUGCUGAACAACCUUCUCAAAAUUCAAGGAAUAAGGAAAGACUUCAGAGAUUCAUUCUCUCUGUCUCUCUCUCUCUAUCUCUCUAUCUCUCUCUCUCUCUCUCUCUCUCUCUAUCUCUCUNUCUCUCUAAUUCAAAUAAUAAUAAUCAAGAUUAUUAACGGGAUAAUCAAUAACAUUCAUUUUAUGGCAGGCAGCAAUUUUGGGCUUCCGAGUGGCGCAGCGGUCUAAGGCGUCACUACAGACCCUGGUUCAAUUCCAGGCAGUAUCACAACUGACUGUGAUUGGGAGUCUCAAAGGGCGGAGCACAAUUGGCCCAGCGCUGUCCGGGUUUGGCCGUCAUUGUAAAUAAGAAUGUGUUCUUAAC
rnacentral:lncRNA from 13 species